UACGUAGGGAGCAAGCGUUGUCCGGAUUUACUGGGUGUAAAGGGUGCGUAGGCGGCUCUGCAAGUCAGGCGUGAAAGCUAUGGGCUUAACCCAUAGACUGCGUUUGAAACUGUGGAGCUUGAGUGAAGUAGAGGUAGGCGGAAUUCCCGGUGUAGCGGUGAAAUGCGUAGAGAUCGGGAGGAACACCAGUGGCGAAGGCGGCCUACUGGGCUUUAACUGACGCUGAGGCACGAAAGCAUGGGUAGCAAACAGG
rnacentral:rRNA from 1 species